rnacentral:rRNA from 1 species
GACGAACGCUGGCGGCGUGCUUAACACAUGCAAGUCGAACGAAGUGGCGAACGGGUGAGUAACGCGCAAUCAACCUGCCCUUCAGAGGGGGACAACAGUUGGAAACGACUGCUAAUCCCGCAUACUGAAGGAGGGGAUUGCGUCUGAUUGGCUAGUUGGGGGGAUAACGGCCCACCAAGGCGAUGAUCAGUAGCCGGUCUGAGAGGAGGAACGGCCAAAUUGGGACUGAGAAAAGGCCCAGACUCCUACGGGAGGGAGCAGUGGGGAAUCUUCCGCAAUGGACGAAAGUCUGACGGAGCAACGCCGCGGGAGUGAUGACGGCCUUCGGGUUGUAAAGCUCUGUUAAUCGGGACGCGGUACCGGAAUAGAAAGCCACGGCUAACUACGUGCCAGCAGCCGCGGUAAUAC